GAAAUGCGAUAAGUAAUGUGAAUUGCAGAAUUCAGUGAAUCAUCGAAUCUUUGAACGCACAUUGCGCCCGCCAGCACUCUGGCGGGCAUGCCUGUUCGAGCGUCAUUUCAACCCUCAGAACCCCUUGCGGGAUCUGGCGUUGGGGAUUGGCAUCCAGCCAGCCCCGAAAUCUAGUGGCGGUCCCUCCGCGACCUCCCCUGUGCAGUAGCGAUACCUUGCAGCGGGACAGCGGUCUGACCACGCCGUAAAACCCCCAACUUCUCAAGGUUGACCUCGAAUCAGGUAGGAAUACCCGCUGAACUUAAGC
rnacentral:misc_RNA from 1 species